rnacentral:rRNA from 1 species
GACGAACGCUGGCGGCGUGCUUAACACAUGCAAGUCGAGCGGUAAGGCCCCUCCGGGGGCACACGAGCGGCGAACGGGUGAGUAACACGUGAGCAACCUGCCCCUGACUCCGGGAUAAGCGGUGGAAACGCCGUCUAAUACAGGAUACGACCCCACGGCUCACGCCGUGGGGGUGGAAAGUUUUUUAGGUUGGGGAUGGGCUCGCGGCCAAUCCGCUUGUGGGUGGGGUAAAGGCCUACCAAGGCGAUUACGGGUAGCCGGCCUGAGAGGGCGACCGGCCACACUGGGACUGAGACACGGCCCAGACUCCUGCGGGAGGCAGCAGUGGGGAAUCUUGCGCAAUGGGCGAAAGCCUGACGCAGCGACGCCGCGUGGGGGAUGACGGCCUUCGGGUUGUAAACUCCUUUUACCACUCACGCAGGCCCGGAGUGUUCUUCGGGUUGACGGUAGGUGGGGAAUAAGGACCGGCUAACUACGUGCCAGCCGCCGCCGUAA